UACGUAGGGGGCAGGCGUUGUCCGGAAUCAUUGGGCGUAAAGCGCGUGUAGGCGGCUCGAUAAGUCUGCUGUGAAAGUCCAAGGCUCAACCUUGGGAUGCCGGUGGAUACUGUCGAGCUCGAGUCCGGAAGAGGAGUGUGGAAUUCCUGGUGUAGCGGUGAAAUGCGCAGAUAUCAGGAGGAACACCAAUGGCGAAGGCAGCACUCUGGGACGUGACUGACGCUGAGACGCGAAAGCGUGGGGAGCAAACAGG
rnacentral:rRNA from 1 species